rnacentral:rRNA from 1 species
AGUGAACGCUGGCGGUAGGCCUAACACAUGCAAGUCGAACGGCAGCACAGUAAGAGCUUGCUCUUACGGGUGGCGAGUGGCGGACGGGUGAGGAAUACAUCGGAAUCUACUUUUUCGUGGGGGAUAACGUAGGGAAAAUUACGCUAAUACCGCAUACGACCUACGGGUGAAAGCAGGGGAUCUUCGGACCUUGCGCGAUUGAAUGAGCCGAUGUCGGAUUAGCUAGUUGGCGGGGUAAAGGCCCACCAAGGCGACGAUCCGUAGCUGGUCUGAGGGGAUGAUCAGCCACACUGGAACUGAGACACGGUCCAGACUCCUACGGGAGGCAGCAGUGGGGAAUAUUGGACAAUGGGCGCAAGCCUGAUCCAGCCAUACCGCGUGGGUGAAGAAGGCCUUCGGGUUGUAAAGCCCUUUUGUUGGGAAAGAAAAGCAGCAGGUUAAUACCCCGCUGUUCUGACGGUACCCAAAGAAUAAGCACCGGCUAACUUCGUG